rnacentral:misc_RNA from 1 species
UUUCCGUAGGUGAACCUGCGGAAGGAUCAUUAUUGAAUAAACUUGGUUGGGUUGCUGCUGGCUCUCAGGAGUAUGUGCACACUCAUUCCAUUUCAACCACCUGUGCACACACUGUAGGCCUGAAUGGGACUUUUCGAGGAAACUCGGUUUGAGGACUGCUGUGAAAAUCAGCUGUUCUUGCAUUCCAGGUCUAUGUUUUUAACAUAUACUCUGUAACAACUCAUGGAAUGUUAAUCAUUGGCCUUCUGUGCCUUUUAAAAAUAUGAUACAACUUUCAACAACGGAUCUCUUGGCUCUC